GGGGGCGACUUGGUUUCGACGUGGGUUGCAAAGCAGCGCAGGGCAUACCGAGGACUGGUUACCUCGUAAAUACAUCCAGAAAUCAAUAACUGCAAACGAUAACUCGUACGCACUCGCAGCUUAAUUGCUGCUAGGUCCACAACACCUCGCCCCUGGGGUGUGUCGCAAGACUCGUGGACUCAUUUACAGGGGCUCGCAGUAGGCCGGGUCACUUGGUCGACUGUUAAAUAAUAGGUGACUCGCCUGUCCAAAGGGUGCACAUCCCCGUUGUCCAGGUUAAAUUAAUUGAUAGUGCUAAGUAUGUAGAACUGUCUGUAGAGUGCUUGCGGACGCGGGUUCGAUUCCCGCCGCCUCCACCA
rfam:Massilia sp. LC238 contig8, whole genome shotgun sequence.